CGCCUUCUCGGCGUGAAACAGAUUUCUUUCUAGGGUUCUUCAUCUCCUCCUAAAGCUGAUUAGGUCUACCAUCAAUGGAAGUUCUAAAAGUCUUAGAGAGAUGAGUCUCCGUAAGUAAUCAUCGUCGCGUCUAGGGUUCAUCGUCGUCGCGUCUAUGUCAGUUUGUGUUCUUCAGUAUGGAUUCAUCUUCUCACAGGCGUUACAAGCUUCACUGAUUUAAUGCGAUUAACUCUUCAGUGAUCAAUCACUCAUUCAAUGAUUCUAAACCCUCUUCCAGGCGGUGUAUCUCCACCUAUAAAAAGAUUCUGGGAAGCCAUAUGGCGGUCUCGACAUACUCUUUGUCGAUUCUCAAGUUCCCCCCACCCUUGAAAAGGCGGGGCAGUUCAUAGAAAGCACUCAAGAGGCAGAUGGUUCACGGUAUGGAAGUUGUCGAGUUUGCUACACAAUAUCCAUCAUGGUUUGCUCUGAGAAGCUCGGCAGUAACUGGAAAAACGUAUGAAACUGUUUGGCUAUGGUGAAGGUGCUGACUUCUUUCUCAAAAGACAAAACAGCAAUGGAGGUUGAGGAGAAAGCUAUAUGUCUUCCUUUGAAAAGACAUACAUAGAAUUAGAAGGAGGAAGAGCAAACCUGGUGCAAAUCGCUUAGGCAUUGAUAGGUCUGAUUCAAACAGGACAGGCCGCCGAUAGAGAUACGUAGCGUCUUCACAGCGUUAAGAAACUGAUCAUCAGUUCGCAGUUAGAAAACGGAGAAUGCCCUCAACAGCUGCAAAGGAAGCAGGUGCAGCAGUAGCAGCUCAAGCUUAUGAAGCUUCAAAGACACU